AACGCACAUUGCGCCUCUCGGUAUUCCGGGAGGCACGCCUGUUCGAGCGCCAUUACACACUCCAAGCUCUGCUUGAUGUUGGACGAAGCGGGACCCGCCUGGCGGGUCGCGCCCGUCUGGAACGUAUGGGCGCCUGCCGCCGAACCACGAGCGUAGCAAGGCAUCAAGUGUCAUUCGCUCUGCUGGGAAUCGGAGGGUAGGCCGCCGGACUUUUUGGGGGGUCUCGACGCCCCAUCACAUCCAUCGAGUUUGGCCUCGGAUCAGGCGGGGAUACCCGCUGAACUUAA
rnacentral:misc_RNA from 1 species